CGGAUCCGCGGGGUAACAAACUGCCGGAUUCCCUGCAGGGGACCGGCUACUGCCUGGACUCUGUGGAGCUCCCCUAUGAACCAGGUCUACACUCGUUCACCCAGACCCCGGCGCAUCGGUGAUCAGCCUGAUCCUCGGGUUCGUUUGCAAAGGAGAAGACGAAGGCUCCGUUUAGGAAAUGCCCAAGGCCACCCAGGUGGCUCUGAAUCCAGGCGUGACAGGCCCAGGAGUUGGCCCUCAAGCAAGCCACAGCUCUGUUUCUUUAUCCGUUGAUGGGAAUUUGCUUUCCCGUGGCAAAGGCUGGGAGCCCUUUCCAUCUUCCUGCCCCGUUUUUCUUCCACUGAUCCCGCAGAUCAGUAGAUCCUGUGGGCCCUGGCUAUAGAGCAGAUGCCCAGCUGUCACCUCCUCCGAGAUAUCCACUGCGCCUCCAUCAGUUCUCCAACGUUUGGGACGGGAACCAGCCUCCUCUUCCAGCUCUUUGCUUCUCUUUUGCAUCGUUCUUUCCCGCAGCAUUUUCGCGGAGCCGCCAGAAUGUCAUAUUACAAAGUAAAUCAAAGCAAGUCGUGGUGUGCCAUCAUGAAAACUAGAAGACAAUGAAAUGAAUGCCUUUUUCAAAGUGCUGAAAAACCAACAGAUUUUCAGUAAAAAUGUCUAUUAAGAAUGAAAUCAAUCUCCAAGUCAUGCAUGAAGGCUGAAGCAAGAGGAUUGCUGAGAGUUCAAGGCCUACAGUGUCCCACUUGUGGUUCUAAGCGCUGUGAAGAAACAGAAAGCCAGAUAAGAGAGCUGGGCUUGGUGGCACAUACCUAUAAUCCUAGCACUCAGGAGACUGAAGCAGGAGACUCACUGUGAGUUUGAGGACAGCCUGGCCUACAUAGUGAGUUCAAGGCCAGCCUGGACUACAGAACAAGGACUUGUCUCAAAAAAUGGCUGGGCUUGGUGGCUCAUGCCUGUAAUCCCAGCACUUGGGAGGCUGAGGCAGGAGGAUCAUUGCAAAUUCAAGACCAGCCUGGGCUACAAAGUGAGCUCAAGGCCAGCCUGAACUACAUAGUGAGACCCUGUCUCAAAAAAGAUCGAAAAAAAAGAAGCGAGAGGAUGAGAGAUCGAGGCUGUUCUCCUUUCUCUAGGAAGCUGGCUGCUGCUGUGGACCUCUGAGGAUGAAUUCCCACCCUCAGGAACCCAUCCAGGCUUCCCUGCCACAUAGCUUAUGUACCCCUUUCACACUAGCCUGGGAUCAAAUUCCACAGUCAGAAACAAGCUUUGAGUUCCCAACAAGUCAAGUCUCCCCAGCACAAGGAUUCUCUCUUGUAUGAAGACACUGGGCCCCAAAUGUUCUGACUCAGGUCUGGGGAGGGUCAGGGACCUGCUCUUGAAACAAGCACGCAGGGAUGGGGGAGUCACCCAACCAACUGCAUUUGGGAACCUUCUACAGGGACUUCAAGCAGCAGCACAAGACAGAGCAGGCCACUCUGCCAAGAAAUCGUGGGAUUCAGGACCAAACCAACCAGUCAGAAGACACAGCACUGAGGAACUUAGGAAGGCAUACAGCUUUAUUAUGCUAGCAGACUGAUGGAAAUCUCAGUUCCAAAUCGUCAGCCCCAUUGUCAUGGUUUAUGUCUGUGUCCCCCAGGCCUCAUGAGUUUGCAUUGUGCAUUUGUGAUUGGUUCAUUGUCUAGUGCUUGGAUUGAUGGUGUCAGUGCUACACCCACAUAGGGGUGGAGCUAGGAUGUGAUGUAAUGGCAGGAAGAAGGUGUGUCUUGCUCUUUGCCUGUUCCUGCUUGCUGUUUGCAACUGCCAUGAACUGUGGCCCAGCCAUGCCCACCUGCCUUGGAGCCAACUGAGUAUAGACUGAAACCUCCAAAAACUGUAAGAAAUAAACCUUUCCUUUCCCAACUUGGGCUUCAGGUAUUUUGUCUCAGCAAUGAGUAAAAAGUAACUAAGACAGAAUUUGGUACCAGGAGUGGGGUCUUUUGCUGUGACUAUACCUGACCAUGUUUCUUGAGAGGCUUUGGAAAUGGCUUGUGGGCAGAAUUUGGAAAGGUUCUGACAUGUCACCUGGAUGCAUAGAACUAGAGAAGCUAAGGCUGUUCUGUAUAGGAAAUUCUGGUCAGAGAUCAGGAGACCAGAAGGCUGAUAGAAAGCCGGAUGGUAAAGACCAGGCUUGGGAGGUUUCUGCUGGGAAGAAGGACUGCAUUGGUUGUUAGACUCCACAUGAUGUGUGUUAUGGCUUAGCAGAAAGUUUGUCUGCAUUUUGCUCCUGCCCAGAGACUUUGCCUGAGACUGAGACAAAAGGCAAUGGACUGAUUAAUCUUGAAAAGGAAAUUUAAAAGCAAUCAAAUAUUGAGUUGUGGCGUGGCUAUUGUUGGGGGCUUUUAGCCAGCUUUAUGCAAAUCAAGAGAUAAGAGCCCAGCAGGAUAAUUUGCAAUACUGUGAAUUUGGCCAGAAGGAAAAUUCCAGGAAGGCUGUGGAUUGUAAAGACAGAGUUGAGAUUUUGAGUCCAGAGGAGAAACAGAGAGAUAAGAAAGAUGGCCCCAGGGCAUCCCAGGAAGCAAAUCCCCACCCUGUGCAGCCUCACUACAAAGGUGAAAGAAUUUGCUCAGAGGGAAAAGCUGCAGAGAGCCAUGUUCCAGAAUGGCAACAGCGGCCACAUGAGAUUCCAGAAUGGCGACAACAUAGAGAAGCUUUUUCUCACAAUCAGGUAAACAGAGCCCUGCGAUCCAGGCAACUGACCCCUACAACCAAGAGAGAGAAAAGCCUGGCUACUGCUCCAGCUAGCAGCAAACCUUGGUGGCAUCCACAAGGUGCUGAUUUUAGGUGCAAGGAAAAUACACGAAUUCUGAGGGUAAGACGGCUUCCACCUUGAUUGUAAAGGGUCUGGGAGGCCAAGCAGUGUGCCCCUGAGAGGGCAAUUUGUGAAGAUGUAAAGGUGAAGCCAAAGGUGCAGUGGAGACCCCAGAAGUUUGGAAAAGCCGGGAAUGUGCCAGGAAAGCUGCAAAAAGCGAGCAGAGAGGAUUUAAGAGAGAAGCUGUGGGAGCUGAAAUCUCUGGAAGUGCCCUGAGGGUGGAAUCACCCAAGCCUUUUGGAGCUUGCAAUCAGUUUGCUUCAGAUGCUGAGCAUGGAACUCUAGGACCUAAUGUUUGUACUAUUGGAUGUUGGACUUACUUUGUUUCCAAUGCUUUAUAUUCCUGUUUGUAACUUUUGAAAUGGUAAUGUUUAUCUUGUGCCUUUGCAUUUCAGAAAUGUUUAACCUUGUUUCAUUUGUACAGGCACUUACAGUUAACAGCUUGCCAUAGAUCUUGGAGGAGACUUGGGACUUGGACUGUCCAGCAAUGCUGAAACUUAGGACUUUGGCAACUCUUGGAGGUGGACUAAAUGUCUUUUGUAUAAAGGAUUUACAUGAGUCCUGGGGGCCAGGGGUGGAAUGUCUUUUGUAUAAAGGAUUUACAUGAGUCCUGGGGGCCAGGGCUUUAUGUUUGUGUCCCCCAGGCCUCAUAAGUUUGCACUGUGCAUUUGUGAUUGGUUCAUUGUCUAGUGUUUGGAUUGAUGGUGUCAGUGCUACACCCACAUAGGGGUGGAGCCAGGAUGUGAUGUAAUGGCAGGAAGGUGUGUCUUGCUCUUUGCCUGUUCCUGCUUGCUGUUUGCAGCCGCCAUGAACUGUGGCCCAGCCUGUGGCCCAGCCAUGCCCACUUGCCUUGGAGCCAACUGAGUGUAGACUGAAACCUCCAAAAACUGUAAGAAAUAAACCUUUCCUUUCCCAA